ensembl:lncRNA
GGUUGCAGCCAGGAUCCACCCCUUCCCAGCCCUUAUUUAAGGGUUGGCAGUGGAGGCAAGGAGGUCUUGCUGGAGAUCCUUGCAUAGCUGAGAUCUUGCAACAAUGCUGCUUGGUGAGGGGCAUUAGUGUUUUGAAACACUGCAGUGGUGCUGCAGCUGCAUUAGCAGGAGAAAAGCUCACAUUUGCCGGAAGAAGGAGGCAUCUGGAUUUAGCAAGAGUAAGGAACCUGGCUCUGACACCUCCAGACACUGCUAAAGCUGGGGAUGCUCUUUGGGCCGGCCGUGCUGCUGAUGGUUUGUUGGCUCCUGCCUGAAUGAAUGCAAUAACCUUGUGUUCAGGGUUGGGCAAGGAUGGAUGGAUUCUUUUGCUGCAAAGAUUGAGUGCUGAGAGUCAGCAGCUCACCCUCCAUUGCCUUCCUAUAAAGAGGGUUCAGGAGGAAAAUAGAGCUCAGCAGGGACCCCACACCAGUGGGGCUG